rnacentral:rRNA from 1 species
CCAGACUCCUACGGGAGGCAGCAGUGGGGAAUAUUGGACAAUGGGGGGAACCCUGAUCCAGCGACGCCGCGUGAGUGAAGAAGUAUUUCGGUAUGUAAAGCUCUAUCAGCAGGGAAGAAGAAAUGACGGUACCUGACUAAGAAGCCCCGGCUAACUACGUGCCAGCAGCCGCGGUAAUACGUAGGGGGCAAGCGUUGUCCGGAUUUACUGGGUGUAAAGGGCGUGCAGCCGGAGAGACAAGUCAGAUGUGAAAUCCACGGGCUCAACCCGUGAACUGCAUUUGAAACUGUUUUUCUUGAGUACCGGAGAGGUCAUCGGAAUUCCUUGUGUAGCGGUGAAAUGCGUAGAUAUUAGGAGGAACACCAGUGGCGAAGGCGGUCUGCUGGACAGCAACUGACGCUGAGGCGCGAAAGCGUGGGGAGCAAACAGGAUUAGAUACCCCAGUACU